rnacentral:siRNA from 1 species
UGAACGGUGUUAAGAUGGAGUU